rnacentral:lncRNA from 1 species
GUUAGCUAUCUAGAAGUUGUCCAGGGCUCCCUGAGGGAGGCCAGCACAAGAGCUCUGCCAUAAAAGGACAUUGGACAGAAGUGAAGAGUCCAAUCAGAAACUCUUUUUGAGAGACUGAACGCAAAGCAUUCAGAGAGUCAGCAGGCUGGAGAGGCCAAGACACACACACGAAGAAGGCAUAGUAACAGGAGCAGAAACAGAAGCCAAGAGAGGGUAGAGAAUUAGUCCUAGCGAAGAAAAAAUGAGUGCAGAUAAGCAGAAUGGAAGACCGGAAUCAGGAGCACAGCCAGCUGCUAGAGUGCCCUGUCAUCUCCUCAAAUGUUGCUCUUAUUCACUGAAGCAAGCUGACUCCCCAAUACCAUGUACAUACUGAACCCAGAAGAGGGGAGAAAAGAAGGAAGGAUUGUGCAUAGGAGUUCCUUUUGAAGAAGUGACAUGGAGGAACAGAGCCUCCUGUUUUCACCAAACCUAACAAUGAUCAGCCACACUGACUCUGAUUGAGUUAAGUAGAAAAGAAGUUUAUUAAAAGAUGACCAAGGAGCUCACAGAAACACCAGGAAAUUUUGAGAAGGUUCAGAAAACAGGUAGAAGAAGAGAGACUCUAGGUAUCUAGAACCCAAGUACAAAUCAUGCCACAAGAACAUGAGCAAUGGGCACUGCUGCUAAUAGCACUAGACACUGGACAUCAGAGCUUGCACUUGCCACCAGCAGAGGAAACCAGUGAAUGUUACUUUAUAGGGCAAAGGGGACUUUGCACAUGUAAUCUUGGAAGAGUAUCCCGGAUUACUUAGGGCUCAGUGUAACCACAAGGGUCCUUAUAAGAGGGAUGCAGGCGAUCAGAGGGAGAAGUAGGAGAGGUGAUGACCGAAGCAGAGAUUGAAGUGAUGCAGCCACAGGCCAAGGAAUUCUGGCAGUCACUAGAAGCUGAAAAGGGCAGGCCCCAGCUCUCCUGAAGCUCUCAGAGGAAGCAAUCCUGUCAGUUCCUUGAUUUUAGCACUAAUGUCAGACUUCUGACCUCCAGAAUUGUAAGAUAAUAAAUUUGUGUUCCUCACCACAA